UACGUAGGCAGCGAGCGUUGUUCGGAGUUACUGGCGUAAAGCGUGCGUAGGCGGUGUCUUAAGUUUGUUGUGAAAUCUCCCGGCUUAAACCCGGGAGGGUGCGGCGAAGUACUGAGAUGCUGGAGUGCCGGAGAGGUAAGCGGAAUUCCUGGUGUAGCGGGUGAAAGUGCGUAGAUAUCAAGGAGGAACACCUGCGGUGUAGACGGCUUACUGGACGGUAACUGACGGCUGAGGC
rnacentral:rRNA from 1 species